UGAUACUCUGAUAACAUACCGUGAC
rnacentral:misc_RNA from 1 species